AGGGUUCGAUUCUGGCUCAGGAUGAACGCUGGCGGCGUGCCUAAUACAUGCAAGUCGAACGGGCCGGAGCAAUCCGGUUAGUGGCGAACGGGUGAGUAACGCGUUGGUGACCUGCCCCGGAGUGUGGGAUACCAGGCCGAAAGGCUUGCUAAUACCGCAUGGGCAAAGGGACGAUUAGAAAGCUCUUUGCAAAGGAGUAAUCCGCUCUGGGCGGGGCCUGCGACCCAUCAGCUGGUUGGUAAGGUAACGGCUUACCAAGGCGAUGACGGGUAGGGGACCUGAGAGGGUGGCCCCCCACAAUGGAACUGAAACACGGUCCAUACACCUACGGGUGGCAGCAGUAGGGAAUAUUGCUUAAUGGGCGCAAGCCUGAAGCCUGCAACGCCGCGUGUGCGAUGAAGGCCUUCGGGUUGUAAAGCACUUUUAGCAGGGAAGAGGAAGGACGGUACCUGCUGAAUAAGCCUCGGCUAACUACGUGCCAGCCGCCGC
rnacentral:rRNA from 1 species